GGGCGCGUAGCUCAACCGGACAGAGCGUCUGCCUUCGAAGCAGCUCGAUGUGGGUUCGACUCCUGCCGCGCCCG
rnacentral:tRNA from 1 species